AUUGAACGCUGGCGGCAUGCCUUACACAUGCAAGCCGAACGGUAACAGGUCUUCGGAUGCUGACGAGUGGCGAACGGGUGAGUAAUGCAUCGGAACGUGCCCAGUUGUGGGGGAUAACUGCUCGAAAGAGCAGCUAAUACCGCAUACGACCUGAGGGUGAAAGCGGGGGAUCGCAAGACCUCGCGCAAUUGGAGCGGCCGAUGUCAGAUUAGGGAGUUGGGGGGGUAAAGGCCUACCAAGCCGACGAUCUGUAGUUGGUCUGAGAGGACGACCAGCCACACUGGGACUGAGACACGGACCAGACUCCUACGGGAGGCAGCAGUGGGGAAUUUUGGACAAUGGGCGCAAGCCUGAUCCAGCAAUGCCGCGUGCAGGAAGAAGGCCUUCGGGUUGUAAACUGCUUUUGUCAGGGAAGAAAUCCUCUGGGUUAAUACCCCGGGGGGAUGACGGUACCUGAAGAAUAAGCACCGGCUAACUACGUGCCAGCAGCCGCAGUAACAC
rnacentral:rRNA from 1 species